rnacentral:rRNA from 1 species
AAAGGGGGGCAACUCCCGAGUACAGCGGCAGACGGGUGAGUAACACGUGAACAAUCUACCCUCGAGUGGGGAAUAACACCGCGAAAGCGGUGCUAAUACCGCAUAAAGUUCCCGGGGUGCAUGCCCUGGGGAUUAAAAGCGCAAGUUGCUUGAGGAGGAGUUCGCGGCUGAUUAGCUAGUUGGUGAGGUAACGGCCCACCAAGGCAACGAUCAGUAGCCGGCCUGAGAGGGUGAACGGCCACACUGGAACUGAGACACGGUCCAGACUCCUACGGGAGGCAGCAGUGGGGAAUUUUGCGCAAUGGGCGAAAGCCUGACGCAGCAACGCCGCGUGGAGGAUGAAGGCCUUCGGGUCGUAAACUCCUGUCAGGGGGGACGAAAUCCCGCAAGGGACUGACUGUACCCCCGGAGGAAGCCACGGCUAACUCCGUGCCAGCAGCCGCGGUAAUACGGAGGUGGCAAGCGUUGUUCGGAAUUACUGGGCGUAAAGGGCGCGUAGGCGGCAUGGCAAGUCAGGUGUGAAAGCCCCGGGCUCAACUCGGGAACUGCAUCUGAAACUGCUGUGCUUGAGUCCUGGAGGGGGUAGUGGAAUUCCCAGUGUAGCGGUGAAAUGCGUAGAUAUUGGGAGGAACACCGGUGGCGAAGGCGGCUACCUGGACAGUGACUGACGCUGAGGCGCGAAAGCUAGGGGAGCGAACGGGAUUAGAUACCCCGGUAGUCCUAGCUGUAAACGAUGGGCACUUGGUGUCGGGGGUAUUGAGUCCCUCGGUGCCGGAGUUAACACGUUAAGUGCCCCGCCUGGGGAGUACGGUCGCAAGACUGAAACUC